AUGAAGGAGACGGGACUGGAUGCUUAUAGAUUCUCUAUCUCUUGGUCAAGGCUUAUUCCUAAUGGAAGAGGAGAAAUCAAUCCAAAAGGAGUAGAAUACUACAACAAUCUCAUCAAUGAACUUCUUGAUCAUGGAAUUCAACCACAUGCAACGAUAUUUCAGUAUGAUCUUCCUCAGAUCCUUGAAGAUGAAUAUGGUGGAUGGUUGAGUCCCCAAAUAAUUGGUGAUUUCACAGCAUAUGCAGAUGUGUGCUUUAGGGAAUUUGGGGAUAGGGUUACCAAUUGGACUACUCUAAAUGAACCUAACGCUUUAGUUUCACUUGGAUAUGAUGCUGGUAUCGGGCCACCAGGGAGAUGUUCUAAACCAUUUGGAUUUGCUAACUGCUCCUUUGGGGACUCUGUAAACGAGCCAUACAUUGUAGCUCGUAAUUGCUUAUUGGCUCAUAGCUCAGCUGUGUCACUAUACAGAAGAAAGUAUCAGGCAAAGCAACAGGGACUUAUUGGCAUGAAUAUCUUUAUAAAUAACAUAUUACCUUAUACAAAUUCAACGGAAGAUAUAGCUGCAGCGAAAAGAGCACAAGCUUUCUACACAGGCUGGUAG
rnacentral:rRNA from 1 species